AGCGAACGCUGGCGGCAGGCCUAAUACAUGCAAGUCGAACGGCUCUUCGGAGCAGUGGCAGACGGGUGAGUAACGCGUGGGAAUGUGCCCUUAGGUACGGAACAACACAGGGAAACUUGUGCUAAUACCGUAUGUGCCCUUCGGGGGAAAGAUUUAUCGCCUUUGGAGCGGCCCGAGUUGGAUUAGGUAGUUGGUGAGGUAAAGGCCCACCAAGGCGACGAUCCAUAGCUGGUCUGAGAGGAUGACCAGCCACACUGGGACUGAGACACGGCCCAGACUCCUACGGGAGGCAGCAGUAGGGAAUCUUGCGCAAUGGGCGAAAGCCUGACGCAGCCAUGCCGCGUGUAUGAUGAAGGUCUUAGGAUUGUAAAAUACUUUCACCGGGGAAGAUAAUGACGGUACCCGGAGAAGAAGCCCCGGCUAACUUCGUGCCAGCCGCCGCGGUAA
rnacentral:rRNA from 1 species